CGAAUCAAUUUGAAUCAUUCUAAAUUAUAUUAUUAGUUAUAAUAAAUCAAAAUACAACGAUAUUUUGACUAUAUGAUGAAUAUAUUGAGAAAUAAUACAAAUUAAGUAUGUAUAAUAUAAACGAGAAGCUAUAGGAGUUAGUUAAAUAAACACAAGUGUGAGGGUCAAAGUUAUAAAAAAAUUAGACGUAAACGAUCACAGAAGCCGAGAGAAUUAUUCGUAUAUUAUUUGUACAUUAUACGGCCUUAGAGUGUCAGAGAGUUCAGACGUUCGUAUUCAAGACAAGAAACUUAAGCUAAAAACGGACUUAAUGAAAUAAUAGAUUUGAGGUUAUGCAGUAACCAGACAAGGAAUGAAAAGAAAUAAUGAAUACCGAUGAAAACUGGCAAAAUUACACUGAAAAAAAAUAUAUAAGAUUUAAAUCUACAAAACAAUCUGAUGGUCAUGGUAAUAAAAUUCAAAAUGUGAAAAAUCAAUUAAAUGUCGGAAAAUAUCGUCAAAAGAAACAAGGUGUUUCUCUUGCACAAUUCUUACAAACGGAAUUAACAAGAGGUUAUCAAUUAGAAAAUGAUGAAGAGAGGUUUUCUGCAAGAAGAGAGAAAAUUUAUUCUUUUAUGAAAAUUCCAAGAGAAGUUGAAAAAUUUAUGGCCUAUGGAUUUUUACAAUGUGCAGAUUCUUUUUUAUUUGUUUAUACAUUUCUUCCACUAAGAUUUAUGAUGGCACUGUGGACAAUAAUUACGAGACCCUUAUUACACUGCUUUGGAAAGGAAAGGAGUAAUUUAAAAGUUGGAGAACGGCAUCUAAAACCAGCAGAGAUUUGCGAUCUUUUAAAGGGAAUUGUGGUGAUCAGCUGUUGGGCAGCUACAUGGAAGGUUGACACCUCUAUGAUGUACCAUUUGGUGAAAAGUCAAUCAGUAAUAAAAUUGUAUAUAUUUUAUAAUAUGCUGGAAGUCGGUGAUAGAUUAUUCAGCGCUUUUGGCCAAGAUACGAUAGAUGCCCUUCUAUGGACAGCUACGGAGCCUAGAUCAAAAACGCAAACACAAACAUCUCAACAUUUGGGCACUCUACCUCAUCUAUUGUUUGCUGUUGCUUAUGUUUUAUUACACAGUAUAUUGGUGCUUUUCCAAGCAACGACUUUGAAUGUUGCCAUUAACAGCAGCAACAAGGCGCUACUUACUAUAAUGAUGUCUAAUAAUUUCGUAGAAUUAAAAGGUUCCGUUUUUAAGAAAUUUGACAAGAAGAAUCUAUUUCAAUUAUCUUGUGCAGACGUGAGAGAACGUUUUCAUUUGAUGAUGCUUCUUCUUGCUGUGAAUCUGCAAACAAUGAAAGAAUACGCAUGGAAAGCGGAACGACUUGCAGUGCUAUUGCCAGAUUGCAUAAUGUUGCUCUUGGCGGAAGUCCUCGUAGAUUGGGUGAAGCACGCCUUUAUAACUCGUUUCAACGAAUUACGUUCAACAGUAUACAGGGAUUAUACAAUAAGUUUAGCGUAUGAUAUGGCGCAAACUCGUGAUGAGACCGCCUUUUCUGAUGCUUCGGAUCUUGUAGCCCGCAGGAUGGGUUUCAUUCCUCUUCCGCUAGGUGUCGCAAUGGGAAGAGUACUUUGCACGACUAUCACGCCGUCUGCCAAACCAGCCAAUAUAAUUUUGUUGCUUCUGGCAUAUCUAAUAUUAGUGGCAUUCAAGAUUUUAAAUAGUUUGAUAAUUCUUGGUAAGGCAUGUGAUUUCAUUUCAUCACAUUCCACGGAACCUGAUAAUGAAAUGACUUCUUUGAAACAUUCUUCAACAAGUACCGAUAUAAAAAAUCCAAAUUUAGCUACAGCAAUUUUUUCCAAUAGUGCAAUUAGUUUAAAUAACGUUUGUCUCAACGAAGCUGUCUUGAAGGAGGAAAUAGUGAUCCAGAUGGCCAUAACAGAUGCCUUUGCUUUAUCCACCUCUAUUACAAAAUGGGUUUUUAAAAAAAUUAUGACAAUUAUAAUAUCAUAAUAUUUCAUCAUGGUGGAAUUAUUCUUCUUAAUGUAUACAAGUGAGAUAGGAGAAAAGGGAAGUACAAGAAAACAAAAUUGAAAUAGCAAAGAAAAAGUAAAUAAAAAUAAUGGAAAUAAAGAUUUUUAAAAGAAAUUAAAAAAAACAAUAAGGAAUAAAAAAAAAUUAUUAAAAAAGACAGAAAUAGAACACUGGAUAAGAAAAAAACUGAAAUGUCAUAGUGCUGAAGACAUUUGACGGUGAUCCAAAUAUACUAAAAAUUAGUACACUAAUUUAAUUUAAAACAAAGACAUAUACAUAUAAUAUUCAAUGUAUGAUGCAAUGACAUAAAUAUUUCAACGUAGUUUAUGGAUUCAAGAAAGUUUAAACGAAAGAAAAAUGCAGGCUGGACAUUGAGAUACAUACAGUCAAAAUCACAAUUAAUGCAAUCAAAGGACAAUUUUUUGAAUAGUUUUGUAAUUUCUGAAGAAAUUCAACCAUUUCCAGAUAAUCAAGCAUCUAAGGUCAAAACUGUUCUAAUCAUGGCUUGGAAUUAUCAUUGAAUUUAAUUAAUUACCAGAAAUGCAAAUACUAAGUAUUGAAUUAAUUCUUACAUGAGAAUCGUAUGAUAAAUCGACAUUUAGAGGCAUUGAUAACCAAACUGGUAUAUUCGAAAUUGUUAUUGAUUUUAAUUAUUUUAAUUAUAUAAUAGACAUGGCAAUUGAAACUGUUGCUCUCAAAUAACGAAUGAUGGAGACGAAAAACCAUUGAUUUUUUUUUAUCAAGGAAGUUGUUCGACAUGCAAAAUAUCAUGUAUGAUCGAGAUCAAAUAAUCUUUAAAUUCACAAUCGAAGAAUACCAACUAAUGGAACAACAUGAGAAUUUUGUUGAAUUGAAAUUAAUUUAAUUUUGUUAAAAUUAUUCACUUUGCACUUUAACAUCUUUUCCACUUUCUUAUACGAAAACUAUAUGACAAAGGAAGGCAACGCUUGAAACUCUGACCAUCUUGAAACUUUAACCAUUUUCUAGGUAUAAAUGGUAAGACCUUUGUACCUCGACUUUUCUAUAUCAGAAUACCCAAUCUAUAUAUAUAUAUAUAGUGUUGUUCAUUGUAUUGAAUCACCAAUUCCAAAACACUCGUGUACAUGAGAGGGGCAGCGAUCACAGCUAUUGGCUGAUGUCAAGCAUAAGCAGGGAUGUAUUUAUAUGAACGCAUCACCCUUACAAUUUAAAUUUUUAUUUGCUUUUUAUCACUAUAUGAUGAGUAUAUUUAAUUUUUAUUUAUUUAUUUAUAAUAUAUUUAUUUUACAUAUCUAUUAUUAUAACAUUUAUAAUAG